UACGUAGGUGGCAAGCGUUGUCCGGAUUUAUUGGGUUUAAAGGGAGCGUAGGUGGUCUUAUAAGUCAGUGGUGAAAUCUCUGGGCUUAACCCAGAAAUUGCCAUUGAUACUGUAGGACUUGAGUAUAGUUGCCGUUGGCGGAAUAUGACAUGUAGUGGUGAAAUACAUAGAGAUGUCAUAGAACACCGAUUGCGAAGGCAGCUGACGAAACUAUAACUGACACUGAGGCUCGAAAGUGCGGGGAUCAAACAGG
rnacentral:rRNA from 1 species